rnacentral:rRNA from 1 species
GGCGGCGUGCUUAACACAUGCAAGUCGAACGCUGAAGGCCCAGCUUGCUGGGUUGGAUGAGUGGCGAACGGGUGAGUAAUACGUGAGUAACCUGCCCUUGACUCUGGGAUAAGCCUGGGAAACUGGGUCUAAUACUGGAUAUGACGCGUCCUCGUAUGGGGGUGUGUGGAAAGGGUUUUACUGGUUUUGGAUGGGCUCACGGCCUAUCAGCUUGUUGGUGGGGUAAUGGCCUACCAAGGCGACGACGGGUAGCCGGCCUGAGAGGGUGACCGGCCACACUGGGACUGAGACACGGCCCAGACUCCUACGGGAGGCAGCAGUGGGGAAUAUUGCACAAUGGGCGAAAGCCUGAUGCAGCGACGCCGCGUGAGGGAUGACGGCCUUCGGGUUGUAAACCUCUUUCAGCACGGAAGAAGCGAAAGUGACGGUACGUGCAGAAGAAGCGCCGGCUAACUACGUGCCAGCAGCCGCGGUAAUACGUAGGGCGCAAGCGUUGUCCGGAAUUAUUGGGCGUAAAGAGCUCGUAGGCGGUUUGUCGCGUCUGCUGUGAAAGCCCGGGGCUUAACCCCGUGGUGUGCAGUGGGUACGGGCAGACUAGAGUGCAGUAGGGGAGACUGGAAUUCCUGGUGUAGCGGUGAAAUGCGCAGAUAUCAGGAGGAACACCGAUGGCGAAGGCAGGUCUCUGGGCUGUUACUGACGCUGAGGAGCGAAAGCAUGGGGAGCGAACAGGAUUAGAUACCCUGGUAGUCCAUGCCGUAAACGUUGGGCACUAGGUGUGGGGGACAUUCCACGUUUUCCGCGCCGUAGCUAACGCAUUAAGUGCCCCGC